rnacentral:rRNA from 1 species
AUUGAACGCUGGCGGAAUGCUUUACACAUGCAAGUCGAACGGCAGCACGGACUUCGGUCCGGUGGCGAGUGGCGAACGGGUGAGUAAUGUAUCGGAACGUGCCCAGUCGUGGGGGAUAACGUAGUGAAAAUUACGCUAAUACCGCAUACGAUCUACGGAUGAAAGCGGGGGAUCGCAAGACCUCGCGCGAUUGGAGCGGCCGAUAUCAGAUUAGCUAGUUGGUGGGGUAAAAGCCCACCAAAGCGACGAGCUGUAGCUGGUCUGAGAGGACGACGAGACACACUGGAACUGAGACACGGUCCAGACUCCUACGGGAGGCAGCAGUGGGGAAUUUUGGACAAUGGGCGCAAGCCUGAUCCAGCAAUGCCGCGUGCAGGAUGAAGGCCUUCGAGUUGUAAACUGCUUUUGUACGGAACGAAACGGCUCUUUCUAAUAAAGAGGGCUAAUGACGGUACCGUAAGAAUAAGCACCGGCUAACUACGUGCCAGCAGCCGCCGUAA